AAACCAGAAGAAAAAUAUGAGACGGGGAAUCAUCGUGUGAUGUGUGUGCUGCCUUUGGCUGAGUGUGUGGAGUCCUGCUCAGGUGUUAGGUACAGUGUGUUUGAUCAUGGUGGCUUGAGGGGAACCCGCUGUUCAGAGCUGUGACUGCGGCUGCACUCAGAGAAGCUGCCCUUGGCUGCUCGUAGCGCCGGGCCUUCUCUCCUCGUCAUCAUCCAGAGCAGCCAGUGUCCGGGAGGCAGAAGAUGCCCCACUCCAGCCUGCAUCCAUCCAUCCCGUGUCCCAGGGGUCACGGGGCCCAGAAGGCAGCCUUGGUUCUGCUGAGUGCCUGCCUGGUGACCCUUUGGGGGCUAGGAGAGCCACCAGAGCACACUCUCCGGUACCUGGUGCUCCACCUAGCCUCCCUGCAGCUGGGACUGCUGUUAAACGGGGUCUGCAGCCUGGCUGAGGAGCUGCGCCACAUCCACUCCAGGUGACUCACUGCAGUACCCAGGGACGGGGUAUCCAACAUGUGUCACUCCCUUGAUGCCUAGCCCUGCCCCUCCUUGAACCUCUCCGGCUGAGCUGGGCUGGGGGCUGGGGUCUGGGGUCUGGCUGUCACUCACAGGUACUGGGGCAGCUACUGGAGGACUGUGCGGGCCUGCCUGGGCUGCCCCCUCCGCCGUGGGGCCCUGUUGCUGCUGUCCAUCUAUUUCUACUACUCCCUCCCAAAUGCGGUCGGCCCGCCCUUCACUUGGAUGCUUGCCCUCCUGGGCCUCUCGCAGGCACUGAACAUCCUCCUGGGCCUCAAGGUAUGACACAGGGGGAGGUAGAAGCUCUGGCCAAGUGGUGGCUGUGGCUGGUAUGACCUGCCCUGAGCUGAGUACUGGGAGUGGGACUGGUUUAAAGGCUGGAGUCCAUGGAGUAGAACCUAUAAUGUCCUGGAACAGUGGGUUUGGCAACGGCAAAAGAGGGAUCAAGUCAGGAGCAGGUUGGGAAGCCUUGGAGGAGGAGGAGGAGUUCUCUGGGUGUCCUUGAUGGAGGCCCCCCAGCCCCAUCCUGCUGUCCACAGGGCCUGGCCCCAGCUGAGAUCUCUGCAGUCUGUGAAAAAGGGAAUUUCAACGUGGCCCAUGGGCUGGCAUGGUCAUAUUACAUCGGAUAUCUGCGGCUGAUCCUGCCAGCCUGGAGUACAGUGGUGACAAGAUCUCAGCUCACUGCAACCUCUGCCUCCCAGGUUCAAGUGAUUCUCCUGCCUGAGCCUCUUGAAUAGCUAGGAUUACAGGCACAUGCCACCAUGCCUGGCUAAUUUUUGUAUUUUUAGUAGAGACAAUGUUUCACCAUGUUGCCCAGGCUAGUCUCAAACUCCUGACCUCAAAUGAUCCACCUGCCUCAGCCUCCCAAAGUGCUGGAUUACAGGCGUGAGCCACUGUGCCUGGCCUAAGCCUGUGUGUUUUAUUCUUCUGACUUGCAGGCUAAAGCGGCAGCUCUUCCAUAUCUCAUUGCUAUCUCCUAGGGCUUCUGCUAGGAGACUGAUCUGGGGCUAGAGGCCUCCCUCUGUGCACACGAGAAUGCUGGAAAUGUCACCUCUCAGGGCUCUGCCUGCCUCUCAGCCCUGAAAGCCAUGGUGGAAAGGGGUGGCGCUGACAUAGACAUCUGAGGAAAGAAGUGAGGGAGGGUAAAGGGUGGUGCAGUAAGAGGAGGGGUGGGGAGGGCUUUUGGAGGCGCUGCCCCUCCUGGCCUCCUGUACAAUGAGAGUGCACUGGACUCUCCAUUCUCUGGCACCCACACACUGCGGGGGCCAAUGACCUGGGUCUCACUCCUGAAUCAGGUGGGAGAUAGGGUUAGCAGGAAUGACUUCUUGGGCUUCCCUGCCUCAGAGCUCCAGGCCCGGAUUCGAACUUACAAUCAGCAUUACAACAACCUGCUACGGGGUGCAGUGAGCCAGCGGCUGUAUAUUCUCCUCCCAUUGGACUGUGGGGUGCCUGAUAACCUGAGUAUGGCUGACCCCAACAUUCGCUUCCUGGAUAAACUGCCCCAGCAGACCGCUGACCGUGCUGGCAUCAAGGAUCGGGUUUACAGCAACAGCAUCUAUGAGCUUCUGGAGAACGGGCAGCGGGCAGGCACCUGUGUCCUGGAGUACGCCACCCCCUUGCAGACUUUGUUUGCCAUGUCACAAUACAGUCAAGCUGGCUUUAGCCGGGAGGAUAGGCUUGAGCAGGCCAAACUCUUCUGCCGGACACUUGAGGACAUCCUGGCAGAUGCCCCUGAGUCUCAGAACAACUGCCGCCUCAUUGCCUACCAGGAACCUGCAGAUGACAGCAGCUUCUCGCUGUCCCAGGAGGUUCUCCGGCACCUGCGGCAGGAGGAAAAGGAAGAGGUUACAGUGGGCAGCUUGAAGACCUCAGCGGUGCCCAGUACCUCCACGAUGUCCCAAGAGCCUGAGCUCCUCAUCAGUGGAAUGGAAAAGCCCCUCCCUCUCCGCACGGAUUUCUCCUGAGACCCAGGGUCACCAGGCCAGAGCCUCCAGUGGUCUCCAAGCCUCUGGACUGGGGGCUUUCUUCAGUGGCUGAAUGUCCAGCAGAGCUAUUUCCUUCCACAGGGGGCCUUGCAGGGAAGGGUCCAGGACUUGACAUCUUAAGAUGCGUCUUGUCCCUUGGGCCAGUCAUUUCCCCUCUCUGAGCCUCGGUGUCUUCAACCUGUGAAAUGGGAUCAUAAUCACUGCCUUACCUCCCUCACGGUUGUUGUGAGGACUGAGUGUAUGGAAGUUUUUCAUAAACUUUGGAUGCUAGUGUACUUAGGGGGUGUGCCAGGUGUCUUUCAUGGGGCCUUCCAGACCCACUCCCCACCCUUCUCCCCUUCCUUUGCCCGGGGACGCCGAACUCUCUCGAUGGUAUCAACAGGCUCCUUCGCCCUCUGGCUCCUGGUCAUGUUCCAUUAUUGGGGAGCCCCAGCAGAAGAAUGGAGAGGAGGAGGAGGCUGAGUUUGGGGUAGUGAAUCCCCCGGCUCCCACCCUGCAGCAUCGAGGUUGCUGUGGACUCUCCUGCCGGGCAACUCUUGCGUAAUCAUGACUAUCUCUAGGAUUCUGGCACCACUUCCUUCCCUGGCCCCUUAAGCCUAGCUGUGUAUCGGCACCCCCACCCCACUAGAGUACUCCCUCUCACUUGCGGUUUCCUUAUACUCCACCCCUUUCUCAACGGUCCUUUUUUAAAGCACAUCUCAGAUU
rnacentral:sRNA from 1 species